AUGCAAACUUUGCUUUGUGCUACAAAAAAGGAACAUGAUAACUACAUUUGCACUUCCUGUCAUGAAGUAGCUCAAAAUCCAGACAAGCGGUACCUACUUAAACUGAAGGUACGCAAUGGCACGGCAACAACAACUUUCGUGGUGUUUAACGAGGUAGCAAAGAGUCUUUUAGGCAACAUAUCUGCGUCGACCCUAUUAGAGCAGGAGGGAUUCAACAACACGGUACCAGAUGUUAUUCAAAAUCUUUAUGGCAGAACACUCCUAUUCCGACUGAAGUUAAAUUCAAGGAAUCUAGAAGAGUGUAUGGAAAAUUAUAAAGUGAGCUACACUUUUGAAGUUGAUGACAAACUUGAGAUGGAAAAUUCAAAUGAAAUGGCUGAAGAGGGCAUACUGGAAAUGCAAGACACACGAGGUUCUUCAAAUUCUGAUAUGCACAAUUUCCAUUACGAGGUGAACCACUCCUCCAAGAAUGCAACAAAUGAUGAGAAGAAGGAUAUGUGCAGAAAGGAAACCUCAAUAUCAUCCAACAAAAAACAACAACGGAGGACAAAGAUACAGAAGUCUAGCAAAAGAUAUGAAAAAGAUGUGAGACCGGUUGCUUCUAGAACAGUUGUUAAAACUGAAGCUCCUGAUGAUGAGGUACAAGAUGAAGAAGAAGAAGGAGAAGAAGAAGAAGAAGAAGAAGAAGAAGAAGAAGAAGAAGAAGAAGAAGAAGAAGAAGAAGAAGAAGAAAAUGAUGUAACCGUAGAUCCAAGAUAUAACAAAGAUUUCAGAAAUGACAACCACAACGAGGGAUAUAAAAAUCCUGUGACCAAGGUACUAGAGGAAGAAAAUGACAUAGAUGAUGAUUCCGACAAUGAAGAAACCAAUAAUGAGGUACAAGAGGAAGGAAAUGACACAGAUGGUGAUCUCACAAUUGAAGAAAGUACAAGAAUGAACAAGGGAGACAACAAUAGUCAUGCCGACAACUGUACCAUCAAAGGUGACAGUGAUGAAGAAUGGAACGCCAAAACUAGAAGCAAAAUUGGAAGGGAUCGAGAAGAGGUGUCUAGAGGGGGGGGUGAUUAG
rnacentral:rRNA from 1 species